UGGGGAAUAUUGGACAAUGGGCGAAAGCCUGAUCCAGCCAUGCCGCGUGUGUGAAGAAGGUCUUCGGAUUGUAAAGCACUUUAAGUGGGGAGGAAGGGCAGUAAGCGAAUACCUUGCUGUUUUGACGUUACCGACAGAAUAAGCACCGGCUAACUCUGUGCCAGCAGCCGCGGUAAUACAGAGGGUGCAAGCGUUAAUCGGAAUUACUGGGCGUAAAGCGCGCGUAGGUGGUUCGUUAAGUUGAAUGUGAAAGCCCCGGGCUCAAACUGGGAACUGCAUCCAAAAAUGGCGAGCUAGAGUAGGGCAGAGGGUGGUGGAAUUUCCUGUGUAGCGGUGAAAUGCGUAGAUAUAGGAAGGAAAACCAGUGGCGAAGGCGACCACCUGGGCUCAUACUGACACUGAGGUGCGAAAGCGUGGGGAGCAAACAGG
rnacentral:rRNA from 1 species